ACGAAUUAAACUUUGCAAAAACCCCAAGCUUAAUGACAUUUUUUUCUUAUACAGUUCCAUGGAAUUACAUUUUUCCUGUAGUCUUCUAUUUCGCAACUGUUUUUCUUAAUAUGGUGCCCAUAAAAAUGUAAAAAUAAAAAUAAAAGUUGAUAUUAUCCAUUCGUUCCGUAGAUGCUUGACGCACAUUAGGAAACCUGAAUUAAAUCUAAAUAACUAUGGGAAAAUACUAGUGAGGAUAACAAAAACAAAGAAAUAGUCAUUCCUUAUCAAGGUUGAGCGUAUCGUUAAACUUCAAUGAACAUUAGCCUAAUACGGAGAUAGUUUUUUAAAUGUAUUUAUACAAUAAGCUAUUGUUAAUAAAAAAAUGUCAAGGAAAGUUUUGUGGAUAAAAUUAGAAGAACAGAUUUUGACGUAAUAAUUGGUAACUAUUUAUGCACUGUACCAGUCAAGCGAAAUAGAAGAAACUGAUAAACCCUAUAACAACAACGAAAU
rnacentral:lncRNA from 1 species